rnacentral:rRNA from 1 species
AGAGUUUGAUCCUGGCUCAGAUUGAACGCUGGCGGCAUGCCUUACACAUGCAAGUCGAACGGCAGCACGGAGCUUGCUCUGGUGGCGAGUGGCGAACGGGUGAGUAAUAUAUCGGAACGUACCCUAGAGUGGGGGAUAACGUAGCGAAAGUUACGCUAAUACCGCAUACGAUCUAAGGAUGAAAGUGGGGGAUCGCAAGACCUCAUGCUCGUGGAGCGGCCGAUAUCUGAUUAGCUAGUUGGUAGGGUAAAAGCCUACCAAGGCAUCGAUCAGUAGCUGGUCUGAGAGGACGACCAGCCACACUGGAACUGAGACACGGUCCAGACUCCUACGGGAGGCAGCAGUGGGGAAUUUUGGACAAUGGGCGAAAGCCUGAUCCAGCAAUGCCGCGUGAGUGAAGAAGGCCUUCGGGUUGUAAAGCUCUUUUGUCAGGGAAGAAACGGUGAGAGCUAAUAUCUCUUGCUAAUGACGGUACCUGAAGAAUAAGCACCGGCUAACUACGUGCCAGCAGCCGCGGUAAUACGUAGGGUGCAAGCGUUAAUCGGAAUUACUGGGCGUAAAGCGUGCGCAGGCGGUUUUGUAAGUCUGAUGUGAAAUCCCCGGGCUCAAC